GUUUCUAAAUAGAGAAAACAAAACCAACAGUUGAAAACACAGUUGGGUUAAUUUUUUUUCAAAAUUAAACAAAACCAAUAACUGAUUUUCCUUUUGUCCCAAACUUUUCAUCUUCUUCUCAUUCGUUUUCAGCAUCGUUAAUUUUUUUUUCUUCAUCUUCUUCUCCUUCAUCUUAACAGUUUCAAUCUUUCUCUGUAAACCACCAAAAACACAGACCCAUGGCAACAUCGCACCAGACCCAUCAUUAUCACCCUUUCUCUUUGUAAACGGGUUGGGUUUUGCACUCUCUUCUUCAAUAAAUCAGGUGUUGUUCUGUCGUGUAGAUUCAUCUCGCUCAUCUAUAACUCAAGAACACAGAGGGUCUUAUAUUCACGAGAACCAUUUGGGUUAUGUUUUCAUAUUGCUCCAUGGAUCACAUGUCGGCCAAGGUUUUACAUGGUAUGAACUUGUGUAUCACUUCAAGUAAAACGUAACUUCUUCAAUCAGGUGUUAGCUCUGCAGUUUUUUUGUGUAAUUUAUUUUUCAUGCCUUGAGAGAUCCUUUCCCACCUAAUCGCCAUGGAAAAAUCACUCACAUCCGCAAAGGGAGGAGAUUUGUGAAGCCAUCAAAUUUUAUGAAGGAGAUGGAUGCUGAUAGGGUAUGAUUGCUCAAUUUUGUAAACUGUUACUGCUUGAUAAUAUUGUUAAAAGUCAAUUAGCAGAUGCUCUGACUUGCAUUGGAAAUUUUGUAUUUCCUUACUGAUAGAUUACUAUAUUUAUUGAUUUGAAAACCAGUGUACCUGUAAGGGUGAAGCAGGUACUACAGAUUUGUUUUGUAUUCACAGCCUCUUUAAGAUGCACUUUGAUUUAUUGAAGAGUUUAAAACCCAGAUAAACUUGUUCUUUGGGUGAUAAUUAUGCGUCUAUUACUGAUUACCAGCGCUCUUAUUACAGUGGGCGCUGAGUAUGAGCUGACGCUAUAACUGGUCCAGUUUUGUUAGAUUUGGUGGCUGGUUCAGCUAUCCACUUUAUGCAGUUCUGGAGAAAUUUUCUGUGUGUUUUUGUCAUCUGCUUUUUUUUAAUAUAGUUUUUUCCAGCUGCAGAAUUUGAUUAUUGUGGAGAUGUAAGGGAUGGUUAUUUUCCUAUAUGUGGAGAUUAUACUGUGCAACUGCUCUUAUAGAAUCCAAGCCAGUCCUCUGCUCCUUCAUCUUUUAUUCUUUUUAUCUGUUUUUUUUAAUGAGGAUGUGCAAGAAUUGCUGUUUUUUUUAAACUCAAAUAGUGAUCGAAGUUCAGCCCAAGUCCCAAUGCAAAUCACUGCUAGCAAUGGUAUGGCUAGUGUAAAUAACUCACUCACCACAGCAUCUACAACCACGUCUGCCAGCACUAUUGUGGGGCUUCUCCACCAAAAUUCAAUGAAUAAUGCAAGCAGUCCCUAUGGAGGAAACUCUGUUCAGAUUCAAUCUCCUGGUUACUCCACCUUGACCACUAUAUCCUGAUUCAUCUUGUGUAGAUCCAAAAUAUCAUGGUUCGUCUCCACAACCAGCAC